rnacentral:misc_RNA from 1 species
GAUGAAGAACGUAGCGAAAUGCGAUAAGUAAUGUGAAUUGCAGAAUUCAGUGAAUCAUCGAAUCUUUGAACGCAUCUUGCGCUCCUUGGUAUUCUGAGGAGCAUGCCUGUUUGAGUGUCAUUAAAUUCUCAACUACACUGACUUUGAAUUGGUGUGGCUUGGAUUUGGGGGGAAAAUUGUUGUGGGCUUUUUGUAUAGUCUGCUCCCCUGAAAUUGAUUAGCGGUACCUUUGUGGAACUGUCUACAGGUGUGAUAAUUAUCUACAUCUUAGACAUCUGCUGGAAUGCUGCUUUCUAAACCUUACUUGUAUUGACAAUCUUGACCUCAAAUCAGGUAGGACUACCCGCUGAACUUAAGCAUAUUAAUAAGCGGAGGA